UAGAAAAACAAAUUUCCUUAUCCUUCUCUUCCCCCCUCCCCAAUUCCUCUCCUACCAUAGCUCCAUAACCACGACGCCGUAUCCGCCGUCGCUGCCUCCUAUGAUUUGGGCGAGCUCUAGCGCUCUCCCGCGACAUAGCUCACCAACUCUGCUACCCUUAGUGCUCCCAGCCAAUACUCCACUUCCGCGACGUCCUCAACGCCCCUGCCCGUGCCCCUGCAUCAACCCUAGUCACCAUGGGUUGAGGGCGCAACUCCUGCCCCUCCGGUUGGUCGGCUCACUACCGGCGCAUCUCUGGACGGGCGGUUGCCUCCACAGGCUGGACGACACUGGUCCGCAAUGUCUACCUCGACUCCGGCGCCAAUAGUGAGACACUUCUCCCCUAUGUUCUUAUCCUCUUUGGUGCUUUAUGUGGCAUGGCUACCAAGGGUUUGUCAUCGUGGCAUCAUAGAUGACGGCUGGAUAUACCAAUACCUAUAGCCGCUCUCUCCCAGGGAGGCUGCCAUGGUCGCCUACUGCCUACCUCAUCGCUCACCUGGAUUAUCUCCCUGAAGAAUGUGACAAUUCUAUUAUUUUCACUAAUUUGUUCCCCCGAAUUUAACAACAUUGUGGCUUCUAUAAUUCCAUUGGCAUUUGGUUCCCUAGCUUCUCUAACCUUCCACUUGUGCCAUGGGUGGACCAAUUACUUUAUUAAAUUUAUGGCUAGUGUUCGCUUUUUUUGUUGUUGAAGGAAACCUGAUGCUCUAAUUUUGCUAUGCAGGUUUCUGCUAGUGAUCUUCUGCUGUAGUUGUUCAAACAUAAUCGUGUUUGCAUAUCCAUAUGUACGUAUUUCUCUGUAUGUAUAUCAUACUCUAGAGUGCUAGAUUACACUGCAGAACAAAACAAUUAGUUGUCCACCAGUCUUGUUUAUAUCAAUGCUUGCAUUCUCCGAGGCUUAUCAGAAGAGAAUCUAGUUUUCCAUGGAAACAAGGGUGAUCGUGCAUUAUUUAUUCACUCAUGUUACUAAAGCUUCUGUUGUCAAGGAGGCAGUAAUAUUCCAAGUGCAUGACUACUUCUUAUUCAGUAAUAUUAAGCAUGAUUAUACAAAACUACACAUUAAAAAGGUAUAUGAAUCAUAGUCUAGACAUCUCACACUUGCUAGCAUGCGUAAGUGUGUAUGUAAAUUUGAUCAAUUUGAUGAUUUUGUUUAACUUUAGGUACUUCUAAAUUCUCAUAUGUUUGUAUUUAUUCGCAUAUUAUGAUGAACUGCAAUCUUUUUUAGAUCAGAAGAAUGCAUAACAACAAAAAAUGCUUCACGAGAUGCCACUUCACAUCUUUUUUUCUCACCAGUAUGUGAAUUUUAAGUUUUUACUUAGUGAACUAUAGUCUUGCAGGUUUACACAUAAUAUUAAAGAUAUAAAUCUACAUGAUGUAAUCAGAUUGUGCAUUUGAGUGAGUGCUGCAAGCUGGGAAGGUAAAUAUGACCAGCGAUGAUGGCAGCACGUCAACGACGUCAUGGAGGAUAAUUAACUCUAACAACUGCUCUGUGCCUGUGCCUAUUCAUAUGCUCUGACUUCGGAAGUGCAAACCAAUAAGAAGAGAGAUGAAGAAUAUGCAGUUUAUUAUAGCUGCAAUUGGCCUGAACUAUAUUCAGGAUAUGGAGUUAUGGAUGCCAAGGGAAACUGAUCAUUUUGGUUUUAGUUAAUGAAGGUUGAACAUGUCAGUCUAGAUGCUCAUGUGAUGAGCUUAGUUUUUUGUUUCCUUCAAUGAAGCUUCGAUCUAUUUAUGUGUAGAGUGCACAUGUUCUUGUAAAACACAUGUGUACAAGAUGAUGGUGUAAAGCAACAAUGUGUUCUUUGGAUGGUGUUCUUUGUAAAACAACAUUGUUGAUUUAAUAUAUGAGGUCUUUCUUACUA